UACGAAGGGGGCUAGCGUUGCUCGGAAUUACUGGGCGUAAAGCGCACGUAGGCGGCUUUCUAAGUCGGGGGUGAAAUCCUGGAGCUCAACUCCAGAACUGCCUUCGAUACUGGAGCUUGAGUCGGGAGAGGUGAGUGGAACUGCGAGUGUAGAGGUGAAUUCGUAGAUAUUCGCAAGAACACCAGUGGCGAAGGCGGCUCACUGGCCCGGUACUGACGCUGAGGUGCGGAAAGCGUGGGGAGCAAACGGGAUUAAAAA
rnacentral:rRNA from 1 species